rnacentral:rRNA from 1 species
GACGAACGCUGGCGGCGUGCUUAACACAUGCAAGUCGAACGGAAAGGCCUGCUUUCCCUUGUGGAUUGCGGGUACUCGAGUGGCGAACGGGUGAGUAACACGUGAGUGAUCUGCCCCCAACUUGGGUAUAAGCCUGGGAAACUGGGUCUAAUUCCCGAUAGGACUGCAGGGUGGUGCCUGUGGUGGAAAACGAUUUUCUAGUGGUUGGGGAUGAGCUCGCGGCCUAUCAGCUUGUUGGUGGGGUAAUGGCCUACCAAGGCGGCGACGGGUAGCCGGCCGGAGAGGGUGGACGGCCACAUUGGGACUGGGAUACGGCCCAGACUCCUACGGGAGGCAGCAGUGGGGAAUAUUGCACAAUGGGCGGAAGCCUGAUGCAGCGACGCCGCGUGGGGGAUGACGGCCUUCGGGUGGUAAACUCCUUUCGACCGCGAGGAAGCCACCUGGUUGGAAGGGUGGUGACGGUAGUGGUAGAAGAAGCACCGGCUAACUACGUG